GACUCGGCGAGAAGUCCAUUGAACCUUAUCAUUUAGAGGAAGGAGAAGUCGUAACAAGGUUUCCGUAGGUGAACCUGCGGAAGGAUCAUUGUCGAGACCGAAACAUUACACCGAGCGAUUCGGAGAACCCGUGAAACGACGUGCGGCGGCCGCCGCCGCGGAACGGCCGUCCAUGCCGUCGCCCCGUCUCCUCUUUUCCGGGGGGAGGCGGCGCGGCGGAGAGGACGGAAGAAAACACAAACCGGCGCAGCAUCGCGCCAAGGGAAAGCUGAAAGGCACGAGCCCCACGUCGGGCUCGUUGGCGUGGAGUGCUGUUGCACGCCAUGCGGAUGACACGACUCUCGGCAAUGGAUAUCUCGGCUCUCGCAUCGAUGAAGAGCGCAGCGAAAUGCGAUACGUGGUGCGAAUUGCAGAAUCCCGCGAACCAUCGAGUCUUUGAACGCAAGUUGCGCCUGAGGCCAGCCGGCCGAGGGCACGUCCGCCUGGGCGUCAAGCUUCGCGUCGCUCCGCGCCAGCUCCGUUCCGCCAGAUGGGGGUGACGGCCACGGCUCGGAUGUGCAGAGUGGCCCGUCGUGCCGGUCGGUGCGGCGGGCUGAAGAACGGGCUAUGCCUCGCCGGCCGCGAACAACAAGGGGUGGGUGAAAGCUGUGGGCGCAGCCUGCGUUGUCUCGUGCCGGCCUGAGAGAUGGAUUGUGCCCUCUAGGUGAUCCCGACCCAAGCGCCGACCCGGACGCGUCGGCUUUGGAAUGCGACCCCAGGAUGGGCGAGGCCACCCGCUGAGUUUAAGCAUAUC
rnacentral:rRNA from 1 species